rnacentral:lncRNA from 1 species
AAAAACAAGUUCUUGAUUUUUUUGGGAAGCCCCCCCCCCGCCCCAAUUUUUCAGGUUUUAUUUCGCCCAAAAUUUUUGGGGGGGGGGGGGGGGGGCUGAGCCACAGCCUGACCCGGGAAGCGGCCCCCCGGGCUGUCCUCUGGCCCGGAGGAGGAGCCUGGCUGCAGCCCUUCCAGCCCUUUCCUCCGGCUAAAAGCGCUCCUUUUCCCGGCUGGGCCUCACCUGAUCGCCCCCAAACUCCUCCAGAAGCCCCCCUGGCAGGCCUGAGGGGUCCCUCCAAGCCGGGGCUGCAGGGCAGGAGCAGAGCCUGUCCUGGGCCAUCCCUGGGGCUGGGGGACCCCCGGCCAUCCCCGCUGAGGGAGGGCGUCCCACGGCGGUGGAUGAAGGAAUGGCAGUGCCUGGGCCCGUCCGCCUGGAACCUGGGCGGCCCCCGGAGCUCCCCUGAGGACACGGCCCGGCACAGGCGGGAUCCCAGCUGGCCGGGGUGGGGGAGGGGGCUGCACUCACCUGCGAGGGGGGCCUCGGGGUCCCGGGGGCCUCUCCCUCUGGCUGCGGGCUCUCUGCGGGGGUCACACGGGGGUCCUUCAGGCAGCCCCAAGGAGGGGCGAGGUCUCCGGCCUGCUGGGGUCCGCAGUAGCGGGGAUCUGGCGUGGGGGGGCGAAGAGUGGACGGGGCGCACGGGGUCAGAGGUCAGCGAGGGUCACGGGGAGCAGACGUGGUGAGGCCGGCCGAGGAAGGAGGGAGCCUAGGUGAGGGUCAGGGGUCGGCGCGGGGGGAGGGGCCCGGAGCUGACCCUCGCGCCCCUACCCCGCCCUGCACUUUCAGCCUCUGGGCCUCGAGGGACAAAGAAGGGGGCCCCCUCUGGCCUGACGCGGGGUGCACACCCAGUGCGGGCGCCUCCUCCUCCGGGCCGCCCUCCCGGACUCCGGGUCCGGGGUCUUGGCCCUUUUGCCCUCGAAGCCCUUCCCUGAGGGAUGGACUCCAGGCCGCAGUGGGGCCUUGGAAGUAGAGCUAGCAGGUGUAGACGCCCUCCCGCCCCGGAGGAGAGGCACCACCGAAACCCAGACUUCUGGGGCGACCCCCCCCCCAUGGGGAGCCUGAGGGCGGGAAAGGUGGGGACGCGAGGGGGAGGGGAGGGCGGGGGCAGGGAAGGGCCCGCCGGCUCCCCCCUUUUUAUGGCCCACUUUAUCGGCCACUGGGUCUUCCCCGGAUUUUUCUUGCCCGGCCUCUACAUCUUGGGGCCCCCUCGUGCCCCCAGGGUGCCCCUGCCUGCGGCCUGAAGGAGCUGGGAGUCCCCUUUCCUGGGGCCCGUCUUGGGGUUCUCCCCCAGGCCUGCCUUUGGUGGAUGGGGGGGGUCUCCUGAGCCUUCCUGCUCCCUCCCCGCUUUGGGCCGUGGAGCCCCAAAACUACCUGCCCGACGUUCUGUUUGGGCUCCCGGGGGGCCGCCCAGCCUCUGCUGUUAAGGGGGGGCGGGGCACGGCAGGCCGCCGGGGCAUCCC